UGGAUGAUGUGGUUAAUUCGAUGCAACGCGAAAACCUUACCCACCUUUGACAUGUACGGAAUCCUUUAGAGAUAGAGGAGUGCUCGAAAGAGAGCCGUAACACAGGUGCUGCAUGGCUGUCGUCAGCUCGUGUCGUGAGAUGUUGGGUUAAGUCCCGCAACGAGCGCAACCCUUGUCAUUAGUUGCUACAUUCAGUUGGGCACUCUAAUGAGACUGCCGGUGACAAACCGGAGGAAGGUGGGGAUGACGUCAAGUCCUCAUGGCCCUUAUAGGUGGGGCUACACACGUCAUACAAUGGAUGGUACAAAGGGUCGCCAACCCGCGAGGGGGAGCCAAUCCCAUAAAGCCAUUCGUAGUCCGGAUCGCAGUCUGCAACUCGACUGCGUGAAGUCGGAAUCGCUAGUAAUCGUGGAUCAGAAUGUCACGGUGAAUACGUUCCCGGGUCUU
rnacentral:rRNA from 1 species